rnacentral:rRNA from 1 species
GACGAACGCUGGCGGCGUGCUUAACACAUGCAAGUCGAACGGAAAGGCCCUGCUUGCAGGGUACUCGAGUGGCGAACGGGUGAGUAACACGUGGGUGAUCUGCCCUGCACUUCGGGAUAAGCCUGGUAAACUGGGUCUAAUACCGGAUAGGAGCCAUUUUUAGUGUGAUGGUUGGAAAGUUUUUUCGGUGUAGGAUGAGCUCGCGGCCUAUCAGCUUGUUGGUGGGGUAAUGGCCUACCAAGGCGGCGACGGGUAGCCGGCCUGAGAGGGUGGACGGCCACAUUGGGACUGAGAUACGGGCCAGGCUCCUACGGGAGGCAGCAGUGGGGAAUAUUGCACAAUGGGCGCAAGCCUGAUGCAGCGACGCCGCGUGGGGGAGGACGGCCUUCGGGUUGGAAACUCCUUUCGCUAGGGACGAAGGUUUUUGUGACGGUACCUAGAUAAGAAGCACCGGCUAACUACGUG